UUGAACGCUGGCGGCAUGCCUUACACAUGCAAGUCGAACGGUAACAGGGAGCUUGCUCUGCUGACGAGUGGCGAACGGGUGAGUAAUAUAUCGGAACGUGCCCUAGAGUGGGGGAUAACUAGUCGAAAGAUUAGCUAAUACCGCAUACGAUCUAAGGAUGAAAGUGGGGGAUCGCAAGACCUCAUGCUCGUGGAGCGGCCGAUAUCUGAUUAGCUAGUUGGUGGGGUAAAAGCCUACCAAGGCGACGAUCAGUAGCUG
rnacentral:rRNA from 1 species